rnacentral:rRNA from 1 species
GGAGGGUGCGAGCGUUGUUCGGAAUCACUGGGCGUAAAGCGCGUGUAGGCGGCCCGCUAAGUCUGAUGUGAAAGCCCGAGGCUCACCCUCGGAAGUGCAUUGGAAACUGGCGGACUGGAGUCCCGGAGAGGAGGGUGGAAUUCCUGGUGUAGCGGUGAAAUGCGUAGAUAUCAGGAGGAACACCGGUGGCGAAGGCGGCCCUCUGGACGGUGACUGACGCUGAGACGCGAAAGCGUGGGGAGCAAACAGGAUUAGAUACCCUGGUAGUCCACGCUGUAAACGAUGAGCACUAGGUGUCGCGGGUAUUGACCCCUGCGGUGCCGCCGCUAACGCAUUAAGUGCUCCGCCUGGGGACUACGGCCGCAAGGUUAAA